rnacentral:rRNA from 1 species
UCGAGAAUCUUUCGCAAUGGGCGAAAGCCUGACGAAGCGACGCUGUGUGUGCGAUGAAGGCCUUCGGGUUGUAAAGCACUUUCGCUUGGGAACAAGAGAAGCCGGCUAACAUCCGGUGGAUUUGAGGGUACCAGGUAAAGAAGCACCGGCUAACUACGUGCCAGCAGCUGCGGUAAUACGUAGGGUGCAAGCAUUAAUCGGAUUUAUUGGGCGUAAAGGGCGCGUAGGCGGGAGCGUAAGUCAGAUGUGAAAUCCCGGGGCUCAACCCCGGAACUGCAUUUGAAACUGCGCAUCUAGAGGGUAGGCGGAGAAAACGGAAUUCCACAAGUAGCGGUGAAAUGCGUAGAUAUGUGGAAGAACACCGGUGGCGAAGGCGGUUUUCUAGCUUAUACCUGACGCUAAUGCGCGAAAGCAAGGGGAUCAAACA